rnacentral:rRNA from 1 species
CAGUCGCCGCGGUAAAACGAAGGGGGCUAGCGUCGUUCGGAUUUACUGGGCGUAAAGGGUGCGUAGGCGGACUGCUAAGUCAAGGGUGAAAUCCCAAGGCUCAACCUUGGAACUGCCUUUGAUACUGGUUGUCUUGAGUCCGGGAGAGGUGAGUGGAACUGCGAGUGUAGAGGUGAAAUUCGUAGAUAUUCGCAAGAGCACCAGUGGCGAAGGCGGCUCACUGGCCCGGAACUGACGCUGAGGCACGAAAGCGUGGGGAGCAAACAGGAUUAGAUACCCCAGUAGUCCCUGUCUCUUAUAC